UACGAGUGCGCCGAAGCACAUCGCUGGGCAAGCAGGGUGACACAGGAGGUCGAGAUUUUACACGGUCGGGAUUUUUUCACCGCAACUACAGGAUGCAGAUUUUGGGCUGAACUGCAUAUACCCACAGCAAAACAGCAGGCCUAAACGUUUUACUAAGAAGCAGAAACCACUGGAACCAGUAUCGUUGCAACACAUAAAGCAAUCGGCCACACGAUCCGAGCUACGGAACUGGAUAUUCGAUUAUAGCAACCAUAGCAUUCAUCUGGUGUAUGUGUGUUUGUGUGUAGCACAUGCAGACAAAGCGUAACCAGUUGGACUGAGUUUUGACUGUACCAAAGAAAAA